GGAUGUGAGGGUGAUCUGGCUGUGACAUCUGUCACCCCAUUGACUGCCAGGGUUGAUUUGGCUGAUCUGGCUGGCUAGGCGGGUGUCCCCUUCCUCCCUCAAUGCUCCAUGUGCAUCCCUCCUGAAGCUGUGCUCUGGGUCGAAGAGGAAGAUCACCCCCGAUAGAUAGAUGUCUAUCUAUCUACCUAUGUAUUCCUUGGUCAAGGGUAUACAAGUAUACCCUGCUAGAACCUUCAGACAAGCUCUCAAAAGUGCAAAUGGAGGAAAGCUGCUCAACUCAUGGCAUCUGGGAAAAA
rnacentral:snRNA from 1 species